CACACACGAAAAAUUUGUUUGACACUAGUUAGGGUUUGCUCGAUCGACUUCCCACCUGGACUCAUCGUUUAGACAUGGCCUUUGUUUAUAAGGGGAAAUUGUUGCUGAGAUCUUAUCCUGUGAUGGGUUAUAGAGAGCGGGGCAGAAGUAGAGGAGGCCAUGGAUCAUGCUCAUCGUUGCAUUGAAGAAAUCAAUUCUGCCUUUCCUAGCCACUUCCUCGCUCUAGACGGAAAUGUUUCCUUCAGAAGGCAGCGUCAUUUCCUUUAGAAGGCAUGUCCAAGCUUUAGUUGAGCUCAAUCAAACAGAAAGCAUGUACCAGGGACAUUUUUGGUACUUAUUAGUUCUAUUUUUAAAGGUGUGUAUCCACACCAAAUCUUUCAAGGAAUGUUGUUUUCUCCACAAUAUGAUAGUAUGAAAGUCCACAUCCAAAUUUAUGAAAAUGAUUAUUUCUUCUAAUUUUUGUUUGUUUGGUGUUUGAGUGUUCUUUGUAUGUGUAGAUGAAAUGAACGAAAGAUGCAUAAAAGGAGGACAAACUCAAUAUUGAUUUCAGGUGCAAUGGUGGAUGUCAGGUCAAAUAAAUCACAUAAAUGCACCAGGAGGCAGUUCGGAUUAAAAAGUUGAAUGAGUCUGUUGGUAUUGGAUUUGACAAAUGCUCUGGUUGUUGUACAUUGCUGGACAAUUUUAACAAAUAAUAUUUGUAUUAGAUUUGACAAGUUGUCUAUAAGUUUGACAACACUCCAGAAGUUGUACCUUUUUUGGUGGAUCUUGGAAAAAGAAAUUCUAUUAGAUUAGACAAGUAUCCAAUCUUGGAAAAAGAAAUUCUAUUAGAUUAGACAAGUAUCCAAUCUUGGAAAAAGAAAUUCUAUUAGACACUAAAUUUGAACUUUAUGAAAAUAAAUAUUUCUUAACUUGCAAAAGUUGUAAUAUUUGUAUGUUACAUAUUAAAUAUUAAAUUGGGACAUUUUGAAUCUAA